GGAUGUAGUUCAAUGGUAGAGUACUUGUUUAGCAUGCAUGAGGCCCUGGGUUCAAUCCCCAGUACUACCA
rfam:Heterocephalus glaber contig50178, whole genome shotgun sequence.